UACAGAGGUGGCAAGCGUUGUUCGGAAUUACUGGGCGUAAAGGGCGCGUAGGCGGCCCUCUAAGUCAGACGUGAAAUCCCCCGGCUUAACCGGGGAACUGCGUCCGAUACUGGAUGGCUUGAGAUUGGGAGAGGGAUGCGGAAUUCCAGGUGUAGCGGUGAAAUGCGUAGAUAUCUGGAGGAACACCGGUGGCGAAGGCGGCAUCCUGGACCAACACUGACGCUGAUGAGCGAAAGCCAGGGGAGCAAACGGG
rnacentral:rRNA from 1 species